UCUAUGGCGAGUUUGAUCCUGGCUCAGAGCGAACGCUGGCGGCGUACUUAACACAUGCAAGUCGAACGAGGAUCAUCGGGUUAGCAAUAAUUCGGCGGUCCUAGUGGCGUACGGGUGAGUAACACGUGGGUAACCUGCCCUUGAGACCGGGAUACCCUCUCGAAAGGGAGGCUAAUACUGGAUACGUUCCCCGGGGCGCAAGACCUGGGGAGGAAAGGUAGCGAAAGCUGCCGCUCUUGGAGGGGCUCGCGGCCUAUCAGCUAGUUGGUGAGGUAACGGCUCACCAAGGCUAUGACGGGUAGCUGGUCUGAGAGGACGACCAGCCACACGGGAACUGAGACACGGUCCCGACUCCUACGGGAGGCAGCAGUGGGGAAUUUUCCGCAAUGGGCGAAAGCCU
rnacentral:rRNA from 1 species